ACUGCCUGAGAGAGAGCACUCAAUAAAUCACACACACACACACACACACACACACACAUAUACAUCUGCAUGAGUUGGGGCCCAAAAUUAUGUGUGUUUGAAUUUUUAACCCGCAUUUUCGGCUAGUUUAUUCAACAAAUUGCAAAAUAAACCCGUCGAAUUUAACAUUAAAUGCAGUUGCAGGCGUCGGACAAAAGGAGCGUCGAAAAAAAUCAAGACAAAAACUGGCAAAAAGUAUGAAACAAAAGAAAAAUUGCGGCGAGGCGAGUGCGAAUAAUUACUAUGGCCAUAUAACUGCAUUGGCAGGCUAGUCCGCAAAAAACCGGGCACCGCAGACGUAUGGCUGCCAAAAAAGUCGAAAUGAAAAACAAUAACGAAUGUCCUUCCAUGCGGCGGCUGCGGUAAAUGCUGACAGUGUCCUGCGUCCAGCGAGUUCUACAGUUGCAGUGGUCGCCGUUUCUGGCUGCUGUGAAGCCCCAAUGAUCGAUGUCGUAUUGUCAGUUUCAUAAAAAUUCAAACAGCUCGGCCAGCUCGGCCAGCUCGGCUCAACUGCAUCAGCAGCAGAAGCACCAGCAGCAGGAGCAGGACAUCGAGGACAUUCGGGACAGUUUUGCCCCCCAACUGGGCGGAAAAUGCUUUUGUCAAAAGGCUUAAACUGCCAGUCGCGAGGCGGGCAGCCCUUUGACCUCGCCCUGGGUCCCAUCAUCUCCAUUUCCUUGCUUUAUUGUUUGCCAUUGAUGCCCAGCUGCCGAACAGGACAACAACGUGCGGAAAAAGCAAAAGGAUCCAGUGCUGUAAAAUGCAAUAAAUUAAACAAUAUCUGCGCCAAAUUGCUGCCGCAUUCGAUAGGUGCGAGUGGCGGGGUUUUGCAGGAAUUCCACUGAUGCGUUUGGCAUUUAACAAUUUUUAUGCGGCCCGAGACUGCUUGCUUCUUUUUAUUUUUUAAUCCCCCCUAUUUUUGUGGACUGUUUUUUUUUUUUUUUUUUGUUUUGCGGUUUUAAGCCCGUCCACGCCCACACUUUGCGAACAUCCCAUGUCCAGCGCCGCUAUCUGGGCCAAUAAGUUGUGGCCAGCCAUUCCUCAUACGCAGUGGGGUGCCAGUGGCGAGAAAUGCAGCUCUUGGACACACGGACAGAACAUGGCUAACAGGGAUCAGAGCCGCAGGUCCUGGGGAAACCGCAAGGCGAAGCCAUUUAAUUGAAUCAAAGACAAAGCUGCGACAAUGAAAUGCCAAGGGAAUGCGCUGCGGAAAUGCCAAUCGAAUUCAGCAAAUAUUCAGUUAAAUAUUUUAAAGAACCAUUUAACUUUACUAAGUGAUGCUCUACUCAUAUUUUUAACCAACUUGGUAACUAUUUCCUUGUAUUUAAAAACUACUUCAUUGCAAUUGGAAUACUUGGAAA
ensembl:ncRNA lncRNA:CR44643 long non-coding RNA:CR44643